rnacentral:rRNA from 1 species
UGGGGGAUAUUGCACAAUGGGCGAAAGCCUGAUGCAGCGACGCCGCGUGGGGGAUGAAGGCCUUCGGGUUGUAAACUUCUUUUGCUCUGAACAAGGCAUGCUAAUGGGUGUGUUGAGUGUAGGGGUUGAUUAGCGCCGGCUAACUACGUGCCAGCAGCCGCGGUAAUACGUAGGGCGCGAGCGUUGUCCGGAAUUAUUGGGCGUAAAGGGCUUGUAGGUGGCUGGUUGCGUCUGUCGUGAAAGCUCAUGGCUUAACUGUGGGUUUGCGGUGGGUACGGGCUGGCUUGAGUGCAGUAGGGGAGGCUGGAAUUCCUGGUGUAGCGGUGGAAUGCGCAGAUAUCAGGAGGAAUACCGGUGGCGAAGGCGGGUCUCUGGGAUGUUACUGACACUGAGGAGCGAAAGCAUGGGGAGCGAACAGG